rnacentral:rRNA from 1 species
CGGGAAUUGCCCUAGUACGGCGAGUGAAGCGGCAACAGCUCAAAUUUCGAAAUCUGGCUCUUUUAGAGUCCGAGUUGAGAGGCAGAGGGCGCUUUGGCUUUGGCAGCGGUCCAAGUUCCUUGGAACAGGACGUCACAGAGGGUGAGAAUCCCGUACGUGGUCGCUGGCUAUUGCCGUGUAAAGCCCCUUCGACGAGUCGAGUUGUUUGGGAAUGCAGCUCUAAAUGGGAGGUACAUUUCUUCUAAAGCUAAAUAUUGGCCAGAGACCGAUAGCGCACAAGUAGAGUGAUCGAAAGAUGAAAAGCACUUUGGAAAGAGAGUCAAACAGCACGUGAAAUUGUUGAAAGGGAAGCGCUUGCAGCCAGACUUGCUUACAGUUGCUCAUCCGGGUUUCUACCCGGUGCACUCUUCUGUAGGCAGGCCAGCAUCAGUUUGGGCGGUAGGUUAUAGGUCUCUGUCACGUACCUCCUUUCGGGGAGGCCUUAUAGGGGAGACGACAUACUACCAGCCUGGACUGAGGUCCGCGCAUCUGCUAGGAUGCUGGCGUAAUGGCUGUAAGCGGCCCGUCUUGAAAACACGGACCA